CCUCAUCCUCCUGGCUAACUAACAGGCUUCCUGCAAACUUGGACCAGUAGGAGAGAAAACAUGACGUACAACUGAACAGUGCGCCAGGUCCUUGCCUUGCAGUUCUCAGUGCAAUCCUGCAGAAUGUUCAGGAGGCGGCUGACGACUCAACCUCAGAUAAGACGGGAUGAAUGGAAGUUAGUCUGGCCUCGUCGUCGGAAUAAAACUGUCGUCUUGAUUACUGGGGGGCAGCAGCAGCCACACCACACUGAGAGGAACAAAGAAACUCAAACAACAACAUUGGUGCUCUUCGCUUUCACUGAGUGCUGUAAAAU